rnacentral:lncRNA from 1 species
UAUCGCUUGUGUUAAUGUUUAAUGGUAUGGUACCAGGCUGUACCCUGUUACUUUCAGAACACUUACAUAUCGUUUUGAGAGAUAAUGCAUCUCCUGCCUCAAUACCAGUGCCCGAGACCAGCUGCGCCACUGAGAUGGGCUGCUUUCUGCUGCUGCUGCCCACCACUGGUCACCAGAGCCUCACCUCCCGUUCCCAUGCCAUCACCCGCGUCCCUGCUCGUUAACACACCAUAAUCUUUCUGCUGGUGAGAGACAUAGGUAAGAGAAGUACUUAAGAAGGCACCUCUGUGCUGCAGAAACAGAGAUCUGAAAAAACACCCCAAUAAUUUAUAGGCUCUUACCCUCUUCAGCAGUUGGCUAAGCUGCUUCGGUUUCUCCCCCUUCUCUCUUUGUUUUGUAUUUAACACUUUCGCAAGAGGACAGAAAAUGUGUUCCUUGUCCAGAGGAGUGCUCUGGCCGUCCCCCUCCACCGGGGCCAGGGUGUGGGUGGCCAGAGCUCAGCCUCCUCGCCGGGACCACCAGUAGCACAAUGUGGCAACCAGC